rnacentral:lncRNA from 1 species
UUAUAAAAAAAAACUAAGAAAUUCUCUCUGAAAGAGAGAGAGAAAGGGAGCUCCGGACUCCGGCCCUCGCAAACCAGGCUCCGGCCCAUGCGCCCACGCGCCGCCCUAAGGGCCACCGUAUUCGGAGAUCGAAGAGUUCGGAAAACUCUCGUCUCUUCAGAUCCAAAAACAGGUAGUUCUUUUCCUUCAAAAUACCCUUACUAUUUUGCUAACAGUUCAUAUAUGUGCUAAAAAAUAAAGAAUAAGUCACUCGGUUAUCACCUUUGAAACUGUUUGUUCUUUUUUUUAUUUCUAUAUUCCUGUUUGUAUAGAGGGUUACAAAGGGCUUUUUAUAGCCAUUGUUUAUUACAAAAACUGGGAAAGAAAUCGAAAAUUUCUUUCUAUUUCUUGCUCACUGUGUCUUUGACCGUGAUCUGUUGAGAUUUUUAGUUUCCUUUUCUUGCUCUAUGUAUCUGCUGUGUUUCCUUUUCUUGCAGGUAUCCCGAUGAUCUCGGCGUUAACGACGGUACCAAGGCCAGAGGGGAAGCCUGAGAUCGCGGUGCUGGACGGACGCCUUGAUGGCGCGUCAGUGUGCAUUGAUGGCCUCGAUCUGGGGAGUUGCACCGACGCUCCCCGAAGCUUCCAAAAGCUGUUGCGGCGCGAGGGGAAAGAGCUAGGGUUGAAAACCCUAGCUGAUAAUUUUGGGUUUUUUGGGCCUCUGUUAUUUGGGUCUUAGUUUAGGUUUGGGCUUCGAGUGUAUUUGGGCUAAGGUUGUAAUUGUAAUGGGUAUGGGUUAACGAGUCAAUGUAAAUGGACUUUUAUAUGGACAAUUAUUUAUUUAUUUAAUUGGUUUACAGCCCGGUCAAAUUUGGGCUACUACAACCGGUUGAGACAACUAAUUGGAACAACCAACAAACAUAUGAUUUUUUUUUUCAAAAUGUUUAAAGUUUUUAUAGUUUUGCAAAUGAAAUUUCUUGAUUGGAAUUCAACUAUAAAUAAGAAGACAUAAAAUUUAUAAAAUUGUUUAGUAUUAAAUGUUUUUUUGCACAACUCACGCACCGCUAAUAAAAGAAAAUCACCGCCACAUAUGCAUGCAUCCGUGAUAGGCAAUCACUGUGAUUCCAACCCACAAUGUGGAUAUAGGGUGAUUGCCCUUGGCUAAUAAACUAAAUAUUAGGGUUCGGUUAAUUAGUAAAUGCUAAUUCUAUUAAAAUUUAAAUUCUUU